AUAAAUAGAAUCGAUAUUAAUCAUUAGAAAGAGAUGAGGGUAGAGCCUUACAGUAUACAGUGACGAGGGACGAAGGAGAAGCUUUGAAUGUAAGUUGGUUGCCGCAGGUUGAUUUGAGGUGUUUUUCCGGUAAGGAUUUCCCGGCGAGGGUAGGUGAGGGUAGAGCCUUACAGUAUACAUUGACGAGGGAUGAAGGAGAAGCUUUGAAUGUAAGUUGGUUGCCGCAGGUUGAUUUGAGGUGUUUUUCCGGUAAGGAUUUCCCAGCGAGAGUAUGGGACUAGGGCAGAGGUCUCUAAUGCGGAGGAUGAAGAGGGGUUUGGGUUUUUGAGGGUAGGUGAGGGUAACAUUAGCACCUCAACUCAAGCUUAUGAAUGAACUCUAUCAAAUUGCGUAAAACUUUGAAGCUAGCUUAAAACAUGAACCCAUGAUAAA
rnacentral:lncRNA from 1 species